rnacentral:rRNA from 1 species
GAUGAACGCUGGCGGUAUGCUUAACACAUGCCAGUCGAACGGACUCUUCGGAGUUAGUGGCGGACGGGUGAGUAACGCGUGAGAAUCUGGCUUUGGGUUCGGGACAACCACUGGAAACGGUGGCUAAUACCGGAUGUGCCGAGAGGUAAAAGAGAAAUUGCCUGAAGAUGAGCUCGCGUCUGAUUAGCUAGUUGGUGAGGUAAAGGCUCACCAAGGCAGCGAUCAGUAGCUGGUCUGAGAGGAUGACCAGCCACACUGGGACUGAGACACGGCCCAGACUCCUACGGGAGGCAGAAGUGGGGAAUUUUCCGCAAUGGGCGAAAGCCUGACGGAGAAAUACCGCGUGAGGGAAGAAGGCUCUUGGGGUGUAAACCUCUUUUCUUAGGGAAGAACAAAAUGACGGUACCUAAGGAAUCAGCAUCGGCUAACUCCGUG